CUCUCUCUCUCUCUCUCUCUCUCUCCCCCUCUAGAGCCAGACAUACAAUGAACUAGACCAAGACCCCCUUUACUCCCCUCUAGACCCAGACAUACAUAGUUUUGCCUCUGAAGUCUAAACCCUUGUAUAUCUAUCUAAACCCAGAGUCCUAUAAAAUUAGGGUUUCUCUUUCCCUCCAACUGUCUCUCUCUGGUAUCUCUUCUCUCUCUGCCGAGAUCUGAUACUGUCUGCUGAUGCAAUAGACGACAAAGUUUAUGCCCAUCAUGGAAACUGAUAAUGCUAAUGUUAAGCAAGCUGAAGAUGCUAAGCUCCUUGCCAAUGAAGCAUAUAAAGCUCAUAAGUUUGCUCAAGCUAUUGAUCUGUAUACACAAGCGAUUGAAUUAAACAGUCAGAAUGCUGUAUACUGGGCCAAUCGUUCAAUUGCCCACCUUAAACUGGAGGAGUAUGGUAGCGCCAUACAAGAUGCUUCCAAGGCUAUUGAAGUUGAUCCCAAAUAUUCAAAGGGAUACUACAGGCGAGGUGCAGCUUAUCUUGCUAUGGGGAAAUUUAAAGAAGCGUUAAAGGAUUUUCAGCAGGUCAAAAGAAUCUGUCCAAAUGAUCCUGAUGCUACCAAGAAAUUGAAGGAAUGUGAGAAAGCAGUGAUGAAACUUAAAUUUGCCGAAGCAAUAUCUGUACCGGAGGCUGAAAGGCGUCCUGUAGCUGAUUCUAUUAAUUAUCAUUCUAUAGGAAUGGCCCCCAGUAUGUCACCAGACUACUACAUAGCAGCAAUUGGACUAGGAGUUGUGGCAGCAUUGGUUAUGUUCAGAGCAGAAGUGACUGCAGUUCUGACUGCAGUUGUGGCCACAAUAGUGGUGGUGAUCAUGGUGGCCCUAGGGGCAUGUUGGUGGCGUGGCUUUCAUGGAAGUCGAGUAAAUAACCUAGAUGUGGAGACACAAUAUGCUGGUGCAAGGAUAGAAGGAGACGUUGUUACUUUGGAUUUUGUGAAGAAAAUGAUGGAGGAUUUCAAGAAUCAGAAGAAUUUACACCAGCGAUAUGCGUUCCAAAUUGUUUUACAGACGAAAGAAAUGUUGCAAGCCAUGCCUUCUCUGGUCGAUAUAAACAUUCCUGAGGGCAAACAUUUUACUGUUUGUGGUGACGUACAUGGUCAGUUUUAUGAUCUUCUAAAUAUUUUUGAGCUUAACGGGCUUCCUUCAGACGAGAAUCCAUAUCUAUUCAAUGGAGACUUUGUGGACAGGGGAUCUUUUUCUUUGGAGGUGAUCCUAACGUUGUUUGCAUUUAAGUGCAUGUCUCCAUCAGCUAUAUAUCUCGCAAGAGGAAACCAUGAGAGCAAGAGCAUGAAUAGGAUAUAUGGUUUUGAGGGCGAGGUCCAGUCCAAAUUAAGUGAAAAGUUUGUGGAGCUGUUUGCCGAAGUGUUUUGUUGUCUACCGCUGGCUCAUGUAAUCAAUGGGAAGGUUUUUGUAGUCCAUGGUGGUCUUUUCAGUGUUGAUGGAGUGAAACUCAGCGACAUUAGAGCAAUUAAUCGGUUUUGUGAACCUCCUGAGGAAGGGUUAAUGUGUGAAUUGCUGUGGAGUGAUCCACAACCUGCACCUGGAAGGGGGCCGAGCAAACGAGGCGUAGGUCUUUCUUUUGGUGGUGAUGUGACAAAAAAAUUUUUGCAGGAAAACAAUUUAGAUUUAGUUGUGCGAUCUCAUGAAGUAAAGGACGAGGGUUAUGAGAUUGAGCAUGAUGGCAAACUCAUCACUGUUUUUUCUGCUCCAAAUUACUGUGAUCAGAUGGGUAACAAGGGUGCCUUUAUCCGUUUCGAAUCACCAGAUUUGAAGCCUAACAUUGUUACUUUCUCAGCAGUGCCACAUCCUGACGUCAAGCCAAUGGCAUACGCAAACAACUUCCUCCGAAUGUUUCAGUAAUUAUGUCCAAGUGGAAGUGCCAACACGGUGUGUUUCUUGCAAUCUGACAACUCUCCGGUUGAAUACAAGUUUGCUUCAGAAGGCUCUACUGGAGAAGGGGUUGGUGCAUGUUCCCAAAUGCAGUAUCUUGUUGUGAUUACUUUCCGUAGAGAUGGUUUUUUUCCAUUUUACCUGUCGUUCUUGUGCUUGUCACCGCUAGGACGAUAAUAUUUCAUCCAUUUUCUUUGAAAUCGUUUGUGUUCUUGUGCUUGCUCUCGGAAGCCAGGUUUAGAGACGAAAUUCAUAACCGUAUGAAGAAUGACUGCCAGCUAAAGCUCAUGGCGUUUUCGCCGUAUUCAUUUCUAUGGAUUUUGAUGUUUUCAUGUUUUUUUGCAAUGGGGUUUUGGAGAUCCAAAAUACCAGCGUAGUAAAGUUGUCAUCACACAGCCUGGAGAGAGCAAUAGCGUCAUCCUGCCCGAGCGGAAAUACUUGCCUAUCCUUGUUUCUCUAUCUCUCUCGUCACAUAACUUCCUCUCUCUUAUGAGAUUUAGACGUGAAUGUGACUUGUAUAUACUAGUAAUUUCUUUGACAUCAAACGAUACUUCCAGUUGUGUUGAAA